rnacentral:rRNA from 1 species
GGGUUGUGAGGUUAAGCGACUAAGCGUACACGGUGGAUGCCCUGGCAGUCAGAGGCGAUGAAGGACGUGCUAAUCUGCGAAAAGCGUCGGUAAGGUGAUAUGAACCGUUAUAACCGGCGAUGUCCGAAUGGGGAAACCCAGUGCAAUUCGUUGCACUAUCGUUAACUGAAUACAUAGGUUAACGAGGCGAACCGGGGGAACUGAAACAUCUAAGUACCCCGAGGAAAAGAAAUCAACCGAGAUUCCCCCAGUAGCGGCGAGCGAACGGGGAGCAGCCCAGAGUCUGAAUCAGCUUGUGUGUUAGUGGAACGGUCUGGAAAGUCCGACGGUACAGGGUGAUAGUCCCGUACACCAAAAUGCACAGGCUGUGAACUCGAAGAGUAGGGCGGGACACGUGGUAUCCUGUCUGAAUAUGGGGGGACCAUCCUCCAAGGCUAAAUACUCCUGACUGACCGAUAGUGAACCAGUACCGUGAGGGAAAGGCGAAAAGAACCCCGGCGAGGGGAGUGAAAAAGAACCUGAAACCGUGUACGUACAAGCAGUGGGAGCACCUUCGGGUGUGACUGCGUACCUUUUGUAUAAUGGGUCAGCGACUUAUAUUCUGUAGCAAGGUUAACCGUAUAGGGGAGCCGCAGGGAAACCGAGUCUUAACUGGGCGUUAAGUUGCAGGGUAUAGACCCGAAACCCGGUGAUCUAGCCAUGGGCAGGUUGAAGGUUGGGUAACACUAACUGGAGGACCGAACCGACUAAUGUUGAAAAAUUAGCGGAUGACUUGUGGCUGGGGGUGAAAGGCCAAUCAAACCGGGAGAUAGCUGGUUCUCCCCGAAAGCUAUUUAGGUAGCGCCUCGUGAACUCAUCUUCGGGGGUAGAGCACUGUUUCGGCUAGGGGGUCAUCCCGACUUACCAACCCGAUGCAAACUACGAAUACCGAAGAAUGUUAUCACGGGAGACACACGGCGGGUGCUAACGUCCGUCGUGAAGAGGGAAACAACCCAGACCGCCAGCUAAGGUCCCAAAGUCAUGGUUAAGUGGGAAACGAUGUGGGAAGGCACAGACAGCCAGGAUGUUGGCUUAGAAGCAGCCAUCAUUUAAAGAAAGCGUAAUAGCUCACUGGUCGAGUCGGCCUGCGCGGAAGAUGUAACGGGGCUAAACCAUGCACCGAAGCUGCGGCAGCGACACUAUGUGUUGUUGGGUAGGGGAGCGUUCUGUAAGCCUGCGAAGGUGACCUGUGAGGGUUGCUGGAGGUAUCAGAAGUGCGAAUGCUGACAUAAGUAACGAUAAAGCGGGUGAAAAGCCCGCUCGCCGGAAGACCAAGGGUUCCUGUCCAACGUUAAUCGGGGCAGGGUGAGUCGACCCCUAAGGCGAGGCCGAAAGGCGUAGUCGAUGGGAAACAGGUUAAUAUUCCUGUACUUGGUGUUACUGCGAAGGGGGGACGGAGAAGGCUAUGUUAGCCGGGCGACGGUUGUCCCGGUUUAAGCAUGUAGGCUGGUUGUCCAGGCAAAUCCGGAUAAUCAAGGCUGAGGUGUGAUGACGAGGCACUACGGUGCUGAAGUAACAAAUGCCCUGCUUCCAGGAAAAGCCUCUAAGCAUCAGGUAACAUCAAAUCGUACCCCAAACCGACACAGGUGGUCAGGUAGAGAAUACCAAGGCGCUUGAGAGAACUCGGGUGAAGGAACUAGGCAAAAUGGUGCCGUAACUUCGGGAGAAGGCACGCUGGUGUGUAGGUGAAGCCCCCGCGGGUGGAGCUGAGACCAGUCGAAGAUACCAGCUGGCUGCAACUGUUUAUUAAAAACACAGCACUGUGCAAACACGAAAGUGGACGUAUACGGUGUGACGCCUGCCCGGUGCCGGAAGGUUAAUUGAUGGGGUUAUCCGUAAGGAGAAGCUCUUGAUCGAAGCCCCGGUAAACGGCGGCCGUAACUAUAACGGUCCUAAGGUAGCGAAAUUCCUUGUCGGGUAAGUUCCGACCUGCACGAAUGGCGUAAUGAUGGCCAGGCUGUCUCCACCCGAGACUCAGUGAAAUUGAACUCGCUGUGAAGAUGCAGUGUACCCGCGGCAAGACGGAAAGACCCCGUGAACCUUUACUAUAGCUUGACACUGAACAUUGAGCCUUGAUGUGUAGGAUAGGUGGGAGGCUUUGAAGCGUGGACGCCAGUCUGCGUGGAGCCAACCUUGAAAUACCACCCUUUAAUGUUUGAUGUUCUAACGUUGGCCCCUGACCGGGGUUGCGGACAGUGUCUGGUGGGUAGUUUGACUGGGGCGGUCUCCUCCCAAAGCGUAACGGAGGAGCACGAAGGUUAGCUAAUCCUGGUCGGACAUCAGGAGGUUAGUGCAAUGGCAUAAGCUAGCUUGACUGCGAGCGUGACGGCGCGAGCAGGUGCGAAAGCAGGUCAUAGUGAUCCGGUGGUUCUGAAUGGAAGGGCCAUCGCUCAACGGAUAAAAGGUACUCCGGGGAUAACAGGCUGAUACCGCCCAAGAGUUCAUAUCGACGGCGGUGUUUGGCACCUCGAUGUCGGCUCAUCACAUCCUGGGGCUGAAGUAGGUCCCAAGGGUAUGGCUGUUCGCCAUUUAAAGUGGUACGCGAGCUGGGUUUAGAACGUCGUGAGACAGUUCGGUCCCUAUCUGCCGUGGGCGCUGGAGAAUUGAGGGGGGCUGCUCCUAGUACGAGAGGACCGGAGUGGACGCAUCACUGGUGUUCGGGUUGUCAUGCCAAUGGCACUGCCCGGUAGCUAAAUGCGGAAGAGAUAAGUGCUGAAAGCAUCUAAGCACGAAACUUGCCCCGAGAUGAGUUCUCCCUGAGACUUUAAGUCUCCUGAAGGAACGUUGAAGACGACGACGUUGAUAGGCCGGGUGUGUAAGCGCAGCGAUGCGUUGAGCUAACCGGUACUAAUGAACCGUGAGGCUUAACCUUACAACGCCGAAG